UCCCUCUCAGGGUUGCACCUGGAGAGUUCCCUGUACUCUACCAGUCUCAACUGUGGGAGGGAGAGUCAGGCAGAGGCAUAGCCAUUCCAUUCCUAGCUUGGGUAACGGCUAGUGAGUGAAAGACAAUCUGCUACAAGU